AUGAACGCUGGCGGCGUGCCUAAUCCAUGCCCGUCGAGCGAACAGACGAGGAGCUUGCUCCUCUGACGUUAGCGGCGGACGGGUGAGUAACACGUGGAUAACCUACCUAUAAGACUGGGAUAACUUCGGGAAACCGGAGCUAAUACCGGAUAAUAUAUUGAACCGCAUGGUUCAAUAGUGAAAGACGGUUUUGCUGUCACUUAUAGAUGGAUCCGCGCCGCAUUAGCUAGUUGGUAAGGUAACGGCUUACCAAGGCAACGAUGCGUAGCCGACCUGAGAGGGUGAUCGGCCACACUGGAACUGAGACACGGUCCAGACUCCUACGGGAGGCAGCAGUAGGGAAUCUUCCGCAAUGGGCGAAAGCCUGACGGAGCAACGCCGCGUGAGUAAUGAAGGUCUUCGGAUCGUAAAACUCUGUUAUUAGGGAAGAACAAAUGUGUAAGUAACUAUGCACGUCUUGACGGUACCUAAUCAGAAAGCCACGGCUAACUACGUG
rnacentral:rRNA from 1 species